AAUUCGCACCAUACAGCGUGGGGCAGCACGAAUGUAAACCAUAGAGAUGGAUUUUAAUUAAAUUAAAGUUAUCUCCGUUGUAGAGGAAAAACCCAUUGUGAAUUUGCAACAUCUUCAGUUAGGAGUGCCACAUUGAAUUUCUUCAGCCAAAAUAGUAUUCACUAAAUUUUGGAAGACAGUACUAAUAGAUCUAUAGAAAAAUAUCGUGUUUUUACCGAGAGGGUUACCGCAACAUAUGAUCCAUUCAUUUCACAUUUCCAAGGAGGAAAAUACGCCUUUGUUUUCAAAGGUUUAAUUGACGUCGGCAAAACCAACUCUGCUACAUCGUUCGAAGUUUUAGAAAAUUGAGAUAGUUAUAUACCCUACUCCUCGGCGCAACAGAAACAUUUUUGUUCGAACUUUCCUUUCGAAAAUCAUCUGCGUUCGUGACUUCAUCAAGGUUGCUUUUGCGAGUAGUUCCUCUGCAGUUUGUUCAGCCCAUCUAUCGGACUACUUCAAGUUUCCGUUUGGAGCGUUCAGCAAGCAUCCAUUUGCCGCAAGAAAAACUUGUGGGUUAAAAAUGAUGUUUUCAAAAACUUUAUCAAAAAUUGAUGAAUUGCUAGACGUAAUCAAACAAAAUUAUUCAAGUUCCAUUGCACGAACAUCGUUAAAUUUGGUCGAUAAACAUAUCAGAAAAUGUGACUUGGCGAUGAAAAAAUUGUAUUCUCAGUGGGAGGAAAAAAGAAAAUUAUAAGUGAAAUUGGGGAAUUGAAACGCAUUACAUGCAUAAUAAAAGUUAUGAAGAAUGAUAAAUAUAUUGGAUCAGGUUUGAAACGCAGCAGUAGAGUUAAAUGG